AGCAGUCGCGGUAAUUCCAGCUCCAAUAGCGUAUAUUAAAGUUGUUGCAGUUAAAAAGCUCGUAGUUGAAUUUCGGGAUCAAUUUAUUGGUCGUGCUAUUGUACGUACUGGUAUUAUUGAUUCCUACCUUCUGACGAACCACGAUGUCAUUAAUUUGGUGUCAUGGGGAAUCAGGACUGUUACUUUGAAAAAAUUAGAGUGUUUAAAGCAGGCUCACGCUUGAAUACAUUAGCAUGGAAUAACGAAAUAGGACGUUUGAUUCUAUUUUGUUGGUUUCUAGGAUCGACGUAAUGAUUAAUAGGGAUAGUUGGGGGCAUUAGUAUUCAAUUGUCAGGGGUGAAAUUCUUGGAUUUAUUGAAGACUAACUACUGCGAAAGCAUUUGCCAAGGAUGUUUUCAUUAAUCAAGAACGAAAGUUAGGGGAUCGAAGACGAUCAGAUACCGUCGUAGUCUUAACCAUAAACUAUGCCGACUAGGGAUCGGAUGAUGUUAAUUUUUAAUGACUCAUUCGGCGCCUUACG
rnacentral:rRNA from 1 species